UUAAAUUGUAUUAUUGAUCUGUUUUGAAGAUAAAGGUUCUGUUGUGUACAGUAAUGCUCUGUAACCCUAAUCUGACGAUGGAUACGGGUUAGAGGUGUUACAUAAAAUAAAUGUGAUAUGAAAUGAAAUUGUUUAAAUAAUGUGAAUACUAAAACUAAAAUGGAUACAUGAGAAUGGAAUGAUUUAAAUGUUGUACUUGUUGAAUAUUUUUUAUAUAUAUUAAAUGGUAUCAUUGGAAAUGUUAUUUGAUUCAUGUGUGAUAUUCUCACCUAUUGUUAUUAAAUUGUGAUAACAGGGAAUUGUAUAAUAGCUAAUCCAUUUAAUUAAAUGCAAACUGA
rnacentral:lncRNA from 1 species